CUACGGAGGGUGCAAGCGUUAUUCGGAAUCACUGGGCGUAAAGGGUGCGUAGGCGGUUUGAUAAGUCUGAUGUGAAAUCCUAUGGCUCAACCAUAGAACUGCAUCGGAAACUGUCAGACUAGAAUACUGAAGGGGCAGAUGGAAUUAGUGGUGUAGGGGUAAAAUCCGUAGAUAUCACUAGGAAUACCGAAAGCGAAAGCGAUCUGCUGGGAAGUUAUUGACGCUGAGGCACGAAAGCGUGGGGAGCAAACGGGAUUAGAAACCCGAGUAGUCC
rnacentral:rRNA from 1 species